rnacentral:lncRNA from 1 species
AAUCGCGUGGUGACUCCGGGCUUGAGGUUGAAUUAAGAAUAGUCAGGUGGUGAGUGGAACGUCUCUUGGGGUGUCGGAAUUCAAAACGGACCUGGAGGAUGUUGAUCUCCAAGAACAUGCCCUGGCGGCGGCUGCAGGGCAUUUCCUUCGGGAUGUAUUCGGCUGAAGAGCUCAAUUUCUGGAAGAAAAUCCCGAUCCCUCUGCCUCUGAAAUUCGGGAGGAAUUAGAACAAUACACAACUGAAAUUGUGCAGAACAACCUCCUGGGGUCCCAGGGCGCACAUGUAAAGAACGUGUGUGAGAGCAAGAGCAAGCUCAUUGCUCUCUUCUGGAAGGCACAUAUGAAUGCUAAGCGCUGUCCCCACUGCAAGACCGGGCGAUCCGUUGUCCGAAAGGAACACAACAGCAAGUUGACUAUCACGUUUCCAGCCAUGGUGCACAGGACAGCUGGCCAGAAGGACUCUGAGCCCCUGGGAAUUGAGGAAGCUCAGAUAGGAAAACGAGGAUACUUAACACCCACCAGUGCCCGCGAACACCUUUCUGCCCUGUGGAAGAAUGAAG